UGCUAGUCGCACGAGUUCAUACUCGUGGCGAAUAGCUCAGUAACACGUGGCCAAACUACCCUUCGGAACACAAUACCCUCGGGAAACUGAGGCUAAUAGUGUAUCCCAUACCACCACUGGAAUGAGUGGUAUGUCAAACGCUCCGGCGCCGAAGGAUGUGGCUGCGGCCGAUUAGGUAGACGGUGGGGUAACGGCCCACCGUGCCAAUAAUCGGUACGGGUCAUGAGAGUGAGAACCCGGAGACGGAAUCUGAGACAAGAUUCCGGGCCCUACGGGGCGCAGCAGGCGCGAAACCUUUACACUGCACGACAGUGCGAUAGGGGGAUCCCAAGUGCACAGGCAUAGCGCCUGUGCUUUUCGGCACCCUAAGGCGGUGCCAGAAUAAGGGCUGGGCAAGACCGGUGCCAGCCGCCGCGGUAAUACCGGCAGCCCAAGUGAUGGCCGAUCUUAUUGGGCCUAAAGCGUCCGUAGCUGGCCGCGCAAGUCCAUCGGGAAAUCCACCUGCCCAACAGGUGGGCGCCCGGUAGAAACUGCGUGGCUUGGGACCGGAAGGCGCGACGGGUACGUCCGGGGUAGGAGUGAAAUCCCGUAAUCCUGGACGGACCGCCGAUGGCGAAAGCACGUCGCGAGAACGGAUCCGACAGUGAGGGACGAAAGCCAGGGUCUCGAACCGGAUUAGAUACCCGGGUAGUCCUGGCCGUAAACAAUGUCUGCUAGGUGUGGCUCCCACUACGAGUGUGUGCUGUGCCGUAGGGAAGCCGCUAAGCAGACCGCCUGGGAAGUACGUCCGCAAGGAUGAAACUUAAAGGAAUUGGCGGGGGGAGCACUACAACCGGAGGAGCCUGCGGUUUAAUUGAU
rnacentral:rRNA from 1 species